AUUCAUAAAUAAAUAAAGUCUGGAGGAUUAAAUUAAACGUGCGGAUUACAUAGAGGGGCUGGAAGGGAAAUUUUCCCUUCUCCUCUAAAACGACAUCGUUCCAGUAGGGCUAAAUUGAAAUUGAAAAUAAAUUAAAGGGCAAAUUUAAAAGAUAAAAAAAUAAUUGAAAAUAUAUUAAAAGGCGGAGGGGCUUAAAGCGCAAUUUGCCCCUCCGCAUAAGAACACGCGGAUCCUGAAUCCGGGUCGGGUCGACGCGCGGAUCUUGCCCCCUUAAACGGCGUUGUUUCAAUUUUAUUAUAAAAGUAACAUUUUAAAACAAAAAAAUCACUUUCUGCCAUAUUUAUAAAAAAACAAAACUUAUGAACCCUAGCCUCCUCUGCUAGGGUUCCAACAGUCAACCGCCGCCGCCGUUACAAUGGAUGCAAAGCCCCUUCAACCCCGAUCUGAUCGGAGCAAAUGGGGUUUCUCGUCUCCUUCCCACAAGUGAAGAUCAUGGAGAUCCAGAGGACUCGUCUUGCGGCGCUGUUGAAGAUUAGAAACCCAAGGGUUUCAUUAUCUGUCUUGGGCCUCUGUAUUCGGGCCUUUAUUUGUUUUGGUUUGGGCCUUGUGGCCCAUUUGUAAUUCGGGAUUUUAAACCCGGGCAAAAUUGGGUAAUUACAAUUUUAUUACUCUUA